AUGGUUGUGGCUUGGCCGCCGGGCACACAAUCCAUUGAUUCACACAUAAGGUCAAAACCGAGUCGCGGUGUUCACAAUGCUGGGCAUUAUUUAUAUCGAAGGACGAGGAGGAAGAUUUGGAUGACCGUAACCACAAUGGCAAGGGCAGCAACAUGGUCGUCACCUACAAUGCCGAUGGGUGCUGACAUUAUGAUGUUUGGUUUAUUUGUUGAAAGUUACAGCCCAUGUUUCAUGAUUUAUUUGCCACCGGUUAAUCAUGAUAUUUUGAAGUGCUCUGACAAUUGCUUGCUGUCUGCAUCUCUUACUUUUCAACUUGCUGCAUAUACAGAUAUACACCAUUAUAAUCUGUUUGUACAAUAUAUUUACUUAUUCAACAUGCUUCAGUUAUGCUUCUUUGAAAAUCCAGUUGUAGAUUGCAGUGAAGCCCCAUUUAGAUCUUGGCUAUAG
rnacentral:rRNA from 1 species